UUCUUGAUAGCUUAAACAGGUUCAAGCAUUUGGUUGUUAACCAAAAGAAUAUAGGUUCAAAUCCCAUUCAAGAAG
rnacentral:tRNA from 1 species